rnacentral:rRNA from 1 species
ACAGGCGCCAUAGCAGCCUGAGGGCGCCCCAUCCCAGAAGCUAAGCAGGGUCGGGACUGGCUUAGGCUUGGAUGGGGGAUCACCUGUGGACACCAGGGCCUGGA